AUAUCACAUAAAGCCCAAACCCAAAGCCUUUUCAAACCCUAUGCUUUCACGGUUGCAACUUUUUGUUUUUCCUUUCCUUUUGUUGCACACGGUUGUAAUUUCUUGUCUCCCACGUUUUAGUUCUUUACCCUUCCCCACCUUCUCUGUUCUACGGUUUCCUACGGUUUCACAUUUAAUCAUCGCCAGCCUCUCUCCCUUCUAACGGCAACCUCUCUGUUUUCCUUUCUUCCUGUCUUCCUCUCCUUACAAUAUAUAAAUACUGAUAGCAGCUAGACGAUUCAGUUGAGUAUAGGGAUUUUGGAGUAUUCAUGCUUCUGAGGCUGCGCAAGUUGAUGAUGAAGAUACAGCAAUGAUGAACAUUAUCAGGUUUGAUGAUUGGGUCACCAUUAAAAUCUUAAACUAGACAAUGAUGGAAUCAACUAUGCUGAUAUAACAAAUUAGCUUUGGCGUCAUUGGCUCCAUCUGACGAAUCAGUACCUAGCAGCUCUAGAAAGAAGAAGUCCAAGUGAUCACUGCCAUGUUCAUGCAAUACAAAAUACACCAUUGUUUCUGCCAGAAAGGUGCUUUUGGAAGGAGAGAAAUGCUAAGAAACAAAGUCUGCAACAACAUUGAAAUAGAUGAAAAAUUUUCCUAUUCUCAGGCAAAUCAUGAUCCUCACGGAAGCUUCAAAGUCUAAGAAAGGCAAAUGGAUUGGUGUUUCAUUUUAGUGUAAGAAUUUGAAAAAGUUCCAAUAUGUUCAUGGGCUGUCAAAGUUGAAAAGUGCAUAGGAAGACUACUGCUAUAUUGUUAUCUUUGAGGGUUCUCCCUAUCAAAGUCAUGAGAGAAUUUGUAGAACAAGCUUCUUUAUUUUUUAUUCUAUAUAUAUAUAUA